rnacentral:rRNA from 1 species
GCCUACGGGGGGCAGCAGUGAGGAAUAUUGGUCAAUGGGCGGGAGCCUGAACCAGCCAAGUCGCGUGAGGGAAGACGGUCCUAUGGAUUGUAAACCUCUUUAGGCGGGGAGCAAUGCCGGGCACGCGUGCCCGGAGGGAGAGUACCCGCAGAAUAAGCAUCGGCUAACUCCGUGCCAGCAGCCGCGGUAAUACGGAGGAUGCGAGCGUUAUCCGGAUUUAUUGGGUUUAAAGGGUGCGUAGGCGGAUUUUUAAGUCAGCGGUAAAAUGUCCGGGCUCAACCCUGGCCGGCCGUUGAAACUGGGGU